GUUAGGUUGGAGUAGAGGUUAACUCGUCACCCUCCCAAGCAUCCUUGGAUAGGUGGAAACGCGGGUUCGAACCCUGCACCUAGCA
rfam:Magnaporthe oryzae 70-15 chromosome 5, whole genome shotgun sequence.